rnacentral:rRNA from 1 species
UGGGGGGGAAAGGGAAUGGGGGCGCAAGCCUGAUCCAGCCAUACCGCGUGGGUGAAGAAGGCCUUCGGGUUGUAAAGCCCUUUUGUUGGGAAAGAAAUCCAGCCGGCUAAUACCUGGUUGGGAUGACGGUACCCAAAGAAUAAGCACCGGCUAACUUCGUGCCAGCAGCCGCGGAAAUACGGAAGU